GAUGAACGCUGGCGGCGUGCUUAACACAUGCAAGUCGAACGAUGAUCCGGUGCUUGCAUCGGGGAUUAGUGGCGAACGGGUGAGUAACACGUGAGUAACCUGCCCUUAACUCUGGGAUAAGCCUGGGAAACUGGGUCUAAUACCGGAUACGACUCCUCAUCGCAUGGUGGGGGGUGGAAAGCUUUUGUGGUUUUGGAUGGACUCGCGGCCUAUCAGCUUGUUGGUGAGGUAAUGGCUCACCAAGGCGACGACGGGUAGCCGGCCUGAGAGGGUGACCGGCCACACUGGGACUGAGACACGGCCCAGACUCCUACGGGAGGCAGCAGUGGGGAAUAUUGCACAAUGGGCGGAAGCCUGAUGCAGCGACGCCGCGUGAGGGAUGACGGCCUUCGGGUUGUAAACCUCUUUCAGUAGGGAAGAAGCGAAAGUGACGGUACCUGCAGAAGAAGCGCCGGCUAACUACGUGCCAGCCGCCACAGUAAUAC
rnacentral:rRNA from 1 species